rnacentral:rRNA from 1 species
GGCUUACUCAACCCCUGUGACAUACCAAUUGUUGCCUCGGCGGAUCAGCCCGCUCCCGGUAAAACGGGACGGCCCGCCAGAGGACCCCUAAACUCUGUUUCUAUAUGUAACUUCUGAGUAAAACCAUAAAUAAAUCAAAACUUUCAACAACGGAUCUCUUGGUUCUGGCAUCGAUGAAGAACGCAGCAAAAUGCGAUAAGUAAUGUGAAUUGCAGAAUUCAGUGAAUCAUCGAAUCUUUGAACGCACAUUGCGCCCGCCAGUAUUCUGGCGGGCAUGCCUGUUCGAGCGUCAUUUCAACCCUCAAGCCCCCGGGUUUGGUGUUGGGGAUCGGCGAGCCCUUGCGGCAAGCCGGCCCCGAAAUCUAGUGGCGGUCUCGCUGCAGCUUCCAUUGCGUAGUAGUAAAACCCUCGCAACUGGUACGCGGCGCGGCCAAGCCGUUAAACCCCCAACUUCUGAAUGUUGACCUCGGAUCAGGUAGGAAUACCCGCUGAACUUAAGCAUAUCAAUAGUCCGGAGGAA